GCAAGUCUACUUGAAUUCUCUUCGGUGAUAGUAAGGUGGCGGACGGGUGAGUAACCCGUAAAGAACUUGCCUUACAGUCUGGGACAACUAUUGGAAACGAUAGCUAAUACCGGAUAUUAUGAAUUUUUCACAUGGGAGAUUUAUGAAAGCUAUAUGCGCUGUAAGAGAGCUUUGCGUCCCAUUAGCUAGUUGGUGAGGUAACGGCUCACAAAGGCGACGAUGGGUAGCCGGCCUGAGAGGGUGAAC
rnacentral:rRNA from 1 species